GGAAGGAGGGGGAGAGGAAGCGAGAGCGAGAGAGAGGGAGAGAGGACAGCGUUUUAUCAGCCAAGUGCAGCCUGAAUCGUGAGGAGCGGACGAUGGGGGGAAAAAAAUCCCUCUCCUGUUUCCUUUCCUCCAGCAUCACCUUUAUUAAGAUGUAGACCGGUGCGCUUCCAGAAACCCGGAGCCUGCUGGUCACAGGAGAAUCCUUCUUCCAACAGUUCUUAGUAAAAAACCAAACACAUUUUGGAUUUACGGCUCACUUGUUCUGAACUAAAAGGGGGCUCCUUCAUUUCUUUCUAUGCGUUUGGAGGUGUUGGACCGCAUCUGAGCUGAGUUGUUACCUCUGGAAGUGCACCAGUUUGAUUUCCAAACGCUGGAACGUCAGGAUUCUCUCUCCUUAUGGGGCUUUUGGGAGGACUGGACCUUAUCCUAACGGGACGUAACGCGAACAGGAAUAUAGUGUGAAGGAAGAAAUAAAAGCGCAACGAAUGGGAUUCUUCUUUAACGAGCAAUGGAGAGAGGUUGGAGAGGUGUUGAUCUGCGGCAGCAGGGAGGAACCGGGUCGGAGGAGGAACUGAGAAAAGGUGGAGGAGUUCCAGCAGGAGACUGAGGGUGGACAGGCAGCAGCUGGGUGGUACUCGAGGAGGUAUCCAGAGAGGUAUCCAGGGGCGAGGCCUAGAGAAGCAGUGAGGAUCGGGUAGUACAGGUGGGUAUGAGCACCAGAGACUGGUCAGAGCUGGUUCUAUGAGGAAGGAGUAGAUGGGAAAGAAGUUUAAACACUUUAAGCGCAGCAAUGAGAGCUAGAGUGUACCACUGUUGAAGCGGAACCAUUUGGCGUCUGCCUCAGGGAAACUGCUCCUAUUUAAGGCCCUUGCUGAUUGGUGAUGAUGAGCACCAGCUGGAUCCCAUCAGCCUGCCCCCUGUAGAUCCAGAGAAAACACAAAUCCACUCUCCUGCAGAACCCAACAUGUAGAGAGUCCAGAAGAAUUUCAGCAGUGGUGGGCACCUCUGACUAAAAAGUUAGCUAAUAGACAAAUUAUAAGACUAAAGCGCUAUACCAACAUGGUAUUUAGCAGAAGCUAAUGCUAAAGUGCUAAGUUCAACCAUUUUGACACCCAGCUAAGCUGCAGCCUGUAGCUAUACAGCGAUUCAUUUUGGGUACAGAAUAAACAUAAUUUGUUGCAUCCCAUCACAAAUGGGGAACGUGAGUACAGAAAAAUACUGCGUUAACAGUUUUCACUUGAUAGCAUGAAUAUAAACAUCUGACUACUUGAAAAAUUAGCAUGACCUGCACUCUGCCUCUAUCAGGAAGUAGAAUAAACCUCUGACACACAAACAGUUUUAUAAUGGUAGAGAUAGUGAAACUCAGCCUUAUGUCUUGUAUGUUUUACUCUUACAGUAUCUAGAAAUGCUCCCCCUCUAAAAUGAGUUAUGCAUUUCAGGCUCAUAAGCUGUUUAAUAUAAUAAGUCAUUAAAUCUGUCAUUUCAUUGACAUGUUUUCAUCAGACAUAGUGCAAAUUUUGAUGCACAAACAAUUUUAAGUGAGUUUUUUUAUUCUGGUUUCAUUAUUUAGAAAUAAAAAUUGUGUUACAACUGAGAAAACGUACAACCACAAACUGCAAAUCUUGCAUCAAAAAAGGUCAAACUUCGGAACUAGCACAAACUAAACUGAAGGGUUCUGUCCUUCUAGUUGAAAAACAAACAUUAGCGUUAGCCUGUGUUUCAAUGUCUGAAGAACCUCUGGAGGAAUCCCGAAGCUUCAAUCAGAAGCCAACUUAAACAUCUGCUUCAUCCACAGGUUUCAUAGCCGUCAGGUUAUGAAAAAACUGACGGUGAACUUUUGUGUCCAUGAGAAACACGUUCUGUCUGAGGGGCCACACGAAAAAUAAUAAAGUCAGGGGUUAUAGCACUAUUUUCUAAUAAAGCUGCUAAACUUCAGCUCUCUGAUAGUCAUAGGUCGCUAUCUUUGUAGCAGCUAGAGUAGUUUUGAGCUAUGCAUAGUGUAAUGCUAACCAACCAAUAAGUUGAAGCCUUAAAAUACCGGCCCACCUCAUUUGCAUAAUGAGGCAUAAAUAUAAACACAUCAAUGUAUGUAUAAGGAAAGGCAAAACAAUAUAUAUAUCUUACUGCUUUUAUUUUUAAUGAUGUCAGUUUUGGUCCUUCACAGAGACAGAGACAAGGUACUGAAAGACUGUGUCUCACUUACACAAAAAGACUGGUUUAUCUAAAUGUCAUUGAAUGAGUGGAGCUGUUGGUGAUGAGGAGGGACAGAGGCUUCUGUUCAUUUCCUGUUUGACCAUGUUGUUUUUAUUUUGCAGGCUCUCUUACAGCAUCAGAAAAAGUUGGAGUUUCAUGAAUUUGAACGUUAGAGAAAGACAUUCUUUUUCCCUUUAAAGCUCUACAGAGCAUUUCUAUUGUGUCAACUUAAUACAGACCUAAGUUAAACAAAAAUACUAAGAAGAAAUGUUUUUUAAAGUGCUUUAAAUAAACAAUGUGGUGUCUUUGUCUUUUUGAUUUCAGCAUUGUGCUGCUUUGCUGCAUUGGAUUCUCACAGCAAUCUUACUGGCUGUAGACAGGUUAACAUUUAUAGCUGACCUUAAGCGUGGCAGAUUUCUGAAUUGCAUGCUGUCAUAUUAACAAAUGGCGCUCUCGUUGGCAAUGGCUCUUAAUUAAGCAUGCUAUGUGCUUUCCACAAGAUUUCAGAGCAUUGCAUCAUCAAAUACUGUAAGUACCAGCACUGUCCAAACUUUCCUUUUGCAUUCUCUUCUAAACUAUUCAGGCGAUUAUGUGGUGGCCUGUUUUAGCAUG